UGAGGAACAUGACCUUCGGCGGGGGAUAGCCGGCCCAACGGCCGGGUAAUACCGCGUACGACCGUCUAGGGACAUCCCUGGAUGGUGAAAGCAGCAAUGCGCCGAUGGAGUGCCUCGCGGCCUAUCAGCUAGUUGGUGAGGUAACGGCUCACCAAGGCAACGACGGGUAGCUGGUCUGAGAGGAUGGCCAGCCACAUUGGGACUGAGACACGGCCCAGACUCCGUAGG
rnacentral:rRNA from 1 species